GAUUUAUCCAUUUGGGGCUGUAAUUUACUGGUUAAGAUGAGGAGUCUAUCAAGCCUGACUUAUCUGUGCCUAUUGCCGAGCUAUCCCUGUAAUGAACACGAUGGGAGACAGAGAGCUGGUUUCAAGUGCAGGGUGCAGCAGGUGUUUAUUGUAAAGGACCACAGGAGGAGGCAGGUAGCUGGGUCCAGGGACAGCUAGCUGGGUCCAGGGACAGGUAGCUGGGUCCAGGGACAGGCAGAAGGUCAUACACAAGAGGAGGCAGGUAGAAGGGUCCAGGGACAGGCAGCUGGGUCCAGGGACAGGUAGCUGAGUCCAGGGACAGGCAGAAGGUCAUACACAGGAGGAGGCAGGUAGCAGGGUCCAGGGACAGGUAGCUGGGUCCAGGGACAGGCAGAAGGUCAUACACAGGAAGAGGCAGGUAGCAGGGUCCAGGGACAGGUAGCUGGGUCCAGGGACAGGCAGAAGGUCAUACACAGGAGGAGGCAGGUAGCUGGGUCCAGGGACAGGCAGAAGGUCAUACACAAGAGGAGGCAGGUAGAAGGGUCCAGGGACAGGCAGCUGGGUCCACGGACAGGUAGCUGAGUCCAGGGACAGGCAGAAGGUCAUACACAGGAGGAGGCAGGUAGCAGGGUCCAGGGGCAGGUAGCUGGGUCCAGGGACAGGCAGAAGGUCAUACACAGGAGGAGGCAGGUAGCUGGGUCCAGGGACAGGCAGAAGGUCAUACACAGGAGGAGACAGGUAGCUGGGUCCAGGGACAGUUAGCUGGGUCCAGGGACAGGCAGAACGUCAUACACAGGAGGAGACAGGUAGCAGGGUCCAGGGAAAGGUAGCUGGGUCCAGGGACAGGCAGAAGGUCAUACACAGGAAGAGGCAGGUAGCAGGGUCCAGGGACAGGCAGCUGGGUCCAGGGACAGGUAGCAGGGUCCAGGGACAGGUAGCAGGGUCCAGGGACAGGCAGAAGGUCAUACACAGGAGGAGGCAGGUAGCAGGGUCCAGGGGCAGGUAGCUGGGUCCAGGGACAGGCAGAAGGUCAUACACAGGAAGAGGCAGGUAGCAGGGUCCAGGGACAGGUAGCAGGGUCCAGGGACAGGUAGCCGGGUCCAGGGACAGGCAGAAGGUCAUACACAGGAGGAGGCAGGUAGCUGGGUCCAGGGACAGGCAGAAGGUCAUACACAGGCGGAAGCAGGUAGCUGGGUCCAGGGACAGGCAGAAGGUCAUACACAGGAGGAAGCAGGUAGAUGGGUCCUGGGACAGGUAGCUGGGUCCAGGGAUUGGUAGCACGCUCCAGGGACAGGUAGCUGGGUCCAGGGACAGGCAGAAGGUCAUACACAGGAGGAGGCAGGUAGCAGGGUCCAGGGACAGGUAGCUGGGUCCAGGGACAGGUAGCAGGGUCCAGGGACAGGUAGCUGGGUCCAGGGACACGGAACUGGGUCCAGGGACAGGUAGCUGGGUCCAGGGACAGGCAGAAGGUCAUACACAAGAGGAGGCAGGUAGCAGGGUCCAGGGACAGGCAGCUGGGUCCAGGGACAGGUAGCAGGGUCCAGGGACAGGCAGCUGGGUCCAAGGACAGGUAGCUGGGUCCAGGGACAAGCAGAAGGUCAUACACAAGAGGAAGCAGGUAGCAGGGUCCAGGGACAGGUAGCUGGGUCCAGGGACAGGCAGCUGGGUCCAGGGACAGGUAGCAGGUUCCAGGGACAGGUAGCUCGGUCCAGGGACAGGCAGAAGGUCAUACACAGGAGGAGGCAGGUAACUGGGUCCAGGGACAGGUAGCUGGGUCCAGGGACAGGCAGAAGGUCAUACACAGGAGGAGGCAGGUAGCUGGGUCCAGGGACAGGCAGAAGGUCAUACACAGGAGGAGGCAGGUAACUGGGUCCAGGGACAGGUAGCUGGGUCCAGGGACAGGUAGAAGGUCAUACACAAGAGGAGGCAGGUAGCAGGGUCCAGGGACAGGCAGCUGGGUCCAGGGACAGGUAGCAGGGUCCAGGGACAGGCAGCUGGGUCCAGGGACAGGUAGCUGGGUCCAGGGACAGGCAGAAGUUCAUACACAGGAGGAGACAGGUAGCAGGGUCCAGGGGCAGGCAGAAGGUCAUACACAGAGAAUCCAAAAAGGCAACAGUACAGGCAGGGAAUAGGCUAGUAACAACGUCUGGGAGAUCAGGCAAUAGGUUGAUAACAGGAAAUCCGACAGGCUAAAGUACAGGCAGGGAAUAUGCAAAAGAGGUCGUUAGUGAGGCAGGCAAAAACUAUCAUACACGGGAGGUUUAAAUUACAGGAAAAGCUGCAUUCAGUGGAUCUAUGUGUUUGAGAGACAAAUAAUGAUGAAAUAAUGAUGACAUUGAUGACAUAUAAUGAUGACAUAUAAUGAUGACAUAUAAUGAUGACAAAUAAUGAUGUCAUAUAAUGAUGACACAUAAUGAUGACAUAUAAU
rnacentral:lncRNA from 1 species